rnacentral:rRNA from 1 species
GUAGGUGGCAAGCGUUGUCCGGAAUUAUUGGGCGUAAAGCGCGCGCAGGCGGUCCUUUAAGUCUGAUGUGAAAGCCCACGCUCAACCGUGGAGGGUCAUUGGAAACUGGGGGACUUGAGUACAGAAGAGGAAAGCGGAAUUCCAAGUGUAGCGGUGAAAUGCGUAGAGAUUUGGAGGAACACCAGUGGCGAAGGCGGCUUUCUGGUCUGUAACUGACGCUGAGGCGCGAAAGCGUGGGGAGCAAACAGGAUUAGAUACCCUGGUAGUCCACGCCGUAAACGAUGAGUGCUAAGUGUUAGGGGGUUUCCCGCCCCCUUAGUGCUGCAGCUAACGCAUUAAGCACUCCGCCUGGGGAGUACGGCCGCAAGGCUG